UUGGAGGCCCGGGCGCGUGCUCGCCAUCAACCCCCAAUUUUUUCAGGUUGACCUCGGAUCAGGUAGGGAUACCCGCUGAACUUAAGCAUAUCAAUAA
rnacentral:rRNA from 1 species